ensembl:misc_RNA Metazoa_SRP Metazoan signal recognition particle RNA
GCUGGGUAUGGUGACAUGUGUCUAUAGUCCCAGCUACUAAGGAGGCUGAGGCAAGAGGAUUGAUGAGUCCAGGAGUUCUGGAAGGUAGUGCACUAUGUCAAUUGUGUGUCUUCACUAAGUUUGGCAUCUAUAUGGUAACCUCCUGGGAGUGGGGGACCACUAGGUUAUCUAAGGAGGGAGAAACCAAAUUGGAAAUGGAGAAGGUCAAAACUCCCAUACUGAUCAGUAGUGGGGUGGAGCCUAUGAAUGGCUACUGCACUCUAGCCUGGGCAACAUAGUGAGACCCUUCCUCUA